AAACCGCUGAUCCCGGGAGGGUUCGUUCCAUUCCACAUGUGGCGGAGAGCGGAGAGGAUCGAAUGCCCCAAUGGGCCCCCGGGGAGGGCAGUUGCCCCAGCUGUCGUUACCGGGAUGUCACUCACAUGAGACUAACGAGUAAUGAGACCUGAGUUCCCGGACCCUACGACCAUGGGCUCUAACUCGUGCGUCAGAUGAACGGCUGCCGCUUCUCUAUGUGCCAAGUGGAUCUCUCGGCUCGGAGAUGUUCCAGGCUGUGCCGCCCACCUCAGAACUCUGCGCCAUUCGGAUGUAACUGCUGCCCCCGGAUCAGGUGCUGAUGCCGCAUUGGUGGGAUCUGUACAGAAUGCCCCAAUGGGCCCCCGGGGAGGGCAGUUGCCCCAGCUGUCGUUACCGGGACGUCACUCACAUACCUGACCGCUCCGGCGCCUGUGCGACUCAGCCCAAGGUAUGUGGGUUGGCUGCUACAGAUCGCUGUGUAUAAUGGGCACUCGGCAUGGCACGUCCCUUGGCAUCAUUAGGCCGCAGGCAAUCUGGGCACUCACUGGUGCGUUGGAGAUGAAUGGAAUCUACGGCUGUGACCCCCACCUUGGCUCCAUUCCUACAUAACUGCCAUUAGGGCAUAAGACUGAAGCCUCAUCCACUGGAAGAACUUGGGAAUUGGAAAGAAAUUUGCCCAAUGGAUCACUCCUGGCCACAUAUUUCAGCCCUGGGCCCGGCGCUGGUGCUUAUGAGAGUGAAGGAUCCAUCGGCGGCGAGACAGUUCCAUGGCGAGGGGUGGAGCGACGAGACUCUUCAUUAAACUGUUAUUUGAUUUCUUGUCUGCAUCAAAUAAGAGCCUUGUCUAUACGGUUUAGAUUGUAAGCUCUUUGGGGCAGUGAGUGAAGCUGAUAUGAUACAGUGCCGGCCUAUUAAGAACAAUAAAACUAAUGAAACCCAAA